AUACGACUCUCGGCAACGGAUAUCUCGGCUCUCGCAUCGAUGAAGAACGUAGCGAAAUGCGAUACUUGGUGUGAAUUGCAGAAUCCCGCGAACCAUCGAGUCUUUGAACGCAAGUUGCGCCCAAGGCCUCUCGGUCGAGGGCACAUCUGCUUGGGCGUUAAACAAC
rnacentral:rRNA from 1 species